rnacentral:rRNA from 1 species
AUUGAACGCUGGCGGCAUGCCUUACACAUGCAAGUCGAACGGUAACAGGUCUUCGGAUGCUGACGAGUGGCGAACGGGUGAGUAAUACAUCGGAACGUGCCUAGUAGUGGGGGAUAACUACUCGAAAGAGUGGCUAAUACCGCAUGAGAUCUACGGAUGAAAGCAGGGGAUCGCAAGACCUUGUGCUACUAGAGCGGCCGAUGGCAGAUGAGGUAGUUGGUGGGAUAAAAGCUUACCAAGCCGACGAUCUGUAGCUGGUCUGAGAGGACGAUCAGCCACACUGGGACUGAGACACGGCCCAGACUCCUACGGGAGGCAGCAGUGGGGAAUUUUGGACAAUGGGCGCAAGCCUGAUCCAGCAAUGCCGCGUGCAGGAUGAAGGCCUUCGGGUUGUAAACUGCUUUUGUACGGAACGAAAAGCCCUGGGUUAAUACCCUGGGGUCAUGACGGUACCGUAAGGAUAAGCACCGGCUAACUACGUGCCAGCCGCCGCAGUAACAC